ensembl:lncRNA
CAGACUUGUGCAACCAUCACCACAAUGUAAUUUUAGAACAUUUUUAAGAGCUCAGGCUCUGUGACCUACGGGCUAGAUAAGACAAGUAGAUAAGGGUUUAAUGUUUAUCCUAGAUAGACUUUAUUCUAGAUAAGGAUUUAAGGUCUCUGAGUAUAGAUGAGCUUGCUCAUCUGUAGAGUGGGAUUAAUAUGGGCUGGAGUGGUGAGAACUAAAAUAUAUGUAUAAAGUUCUUGGUACAGGGCCGGCACACAUUAAGUGCUCAAUAAACAGGAGUUAUUAUGACCUCCGCAGCUCUUCCUGGCAUUGACUUCCAAAUAGUCUUGUCCUCUUCUUUAUUAGUUUAUUGUCUCCCCAAGUAGAGUAUAAACUUCCAAAGGGCAGGAAUACUGUUCUUAUCCCUCUCUUAAAAUUCUCAUACCACUUCCACAGUCUGAGCAGACUUGGUGUAUGAGAGCGAAUUGGGGCAGGUUUCAUGGUGCCAGUUGCAUGAGAACGGGGUUGUAAAGAGCGGGUAGGUUUUGAACACGUUGCUGUGAACGAGAAGAAUAUUUUGAGUAGAAGGAAAUGAGUAAAGGCAUAGAAAUAGGAAAAUGUAGGGCACUCUAUGGCAACCAGCAAUGAGUUCAGUUUGAAGGCAGUUUAGGAAACACAAAAGGGACUGGACUAGAUAAGGCUGGAAAGAGGCUGGGGUUCAGCACUGCUAGACUCAUGUCCCCGUACCAGAGCCAUAACCUUGGUCUGAUGCUCAAGGUCUAAGGCACACUGGUCGCUGUUGACUUGGGUGUGUGGGAUGGGGUGUCAGGUGGUGAAGAAGCAGGUGGGCCUGUUGUAAGGCUCAGCCCCUGCUCUGCGGAGCCUGGGCUGCUUCUUAGUGAGCCUGCUGCAUGAUCGGAAGCAGGAACCCAGUGUUUGCAGAUUCAGAAAAGGUCUUUACAGAUUGUCCUGAUGGAGUGACUGGCAGCACAUGCAGAAGCCCAAGGAGAUGCCUGGUCUCUCAGGGUCCUCAAGGAAGUCUGAGAUGCAGCUGCCUCUUCGUGGUCUCCAGACAGAGUCAUCGCUCACUCAGAUCCCCUAGGCCCACGACGAACGGCAAAGACAAAUUUUUGUUGUUUCUAUUGUUUAAAUAUCUGGAAUGCUACCGCUUUGCUUUUUGCUUAGUUAGCCUCCAGCCCAGGUGACUGGGUGAAUUUACCAGCAUGUCUUCACUCUCUCUUUGUCAUAGGACUUUGUAACCUUUUUUUCUCUCAAACCAAGACUCAGAGCAGUUACCUUGCCCAUCCAAGAUCACUUAGAAAGUCAGCAGGGACGAAUUGAGUCAUUUGUUCUCCAAGCUGGUGCUUUUUUCAAAAGACAAACUGACCUCUCUUCUAUUAUAAAGAAUUAGUAGGCACUAAUUUAUAGUCACUUUACUUCCCAUCAAAGGACUAUUAGAAGUAAUAAAAGGCCUGGAUAAAGGCCAUCCAAAAACUCCUAAAUUGGAAAUACCUGUGACCAAUUGUCUCCAGACUUUCAAAUCCCAUUUAGCAGCUGGUAGUCAUUCCCUUGCAUGGUGUUAGAUGCACCCAAAUCUUUCUGUGCUUCCAGAGCAUUGAGCAAACAUAUAUAUGAUUUUCCAAAAGGUAACUGGAAAGGUGCCGUGUUCAGGAAACUGGCAGAGUGUGUGUGAACACACCAGGCCAAGCUGUGAGAGAUUUUCUGACACAGCUUUCCAAUCUCUGCUCUUCCCCCUCACCCUGGGGGUUCAUUUCCCAGGGCACAGUGCGUCCUCUGAAAAGUCACACAGCUGUUGGCGGUGAGAGGCACUGUCCCAGUAGCGAGCUCCUUCCUCACUCCUACAGGCUGGCUCACCUCACUCGGAGAGUCCUUGGGCCUUGAGGACAGGGACAAGAAAGCACUAAUGAGGAAGAACAUGCUGGAGGAAUAUCAUAUUCAGCAAGCCUAGAGGCAGUGACUCCAGCCAUCAAGAUCCCAGGAAACACUUUAGAUAGAAAUUUAUUGAGCCGUUUCCUCAAUGCCUGGAAUGGGGCUGAAGGUGAGGAAUGGGGUAAAUGAUAGUGAUGAAUACGACCAGUCCUGGCAGUGCUUCUCAGACUUUUCCAUGAACCACUCUGAUGGUUAAGGACACUGAAGGAGAAUGGGAGGGCCACAAGGUUUUCCAUCAACAGAAAUGGCUGCUGAUUGAAGCUUUCUGCCCAGCACUGGAGAGAGACCCAUUCUCCAAAGCAGAUUGAUCAUUUCUCCUGCCGAUAAAGGGACAGUAUUCUACCCAGUGGGUUUGGCCCCUGACCUAAGAAAUAUAUGGAUGCAUCAAAAUUCCCUGAGCUGACAACUUGGAUGAACUCUGGAGGCUGUAAAUCUGCAAAGGCAGAGAGGGGCCAGGCAGGCCUGUGCGAGAGGGCUCUCCCCUCAUUUAGUGUGCAUCAACCACCAUGAUGGCCGAGCAAUUCCUUGUCUGCUUUUUACCCAACAUAAUUUGCAAAUUGAUUGUUCUUCCUUGGAAGUCUUUCUUAAUUAAAUAGUAACUGCAGUUACUACCCUCAGACAAAGGGGACAUGUUAGUGUCCUGGCAGAGCACAGCCUUAGCUCAGUGAAUUUACGUUUGCUGAAGUGCCCAUCAUGGACUCAUGUGCAGAACUCUACUGCAUGGCUCCUUCUAGAGGAAUGAGACUGCACUCCUUGCCCACAAAGAGCCAGAAUAAGCCCUUUACCACUGGGGCAAAGAGCUCUAAACAGAGACAAAUGGAUGCCCUCUGGGCCCACACUUGAUUCCAGGGACUGUGGGAGAAUCAGCCUUGACUGUCGUUGACUGCGUGCCUAUGUGCCUGGCACUGUGUUGGGCCCUUUCACACGAACCAUCUCAUUUAAUCUUCAUAACCCAAAGAAGGAGGGGCAGUUAUAUCUAUUUUCCAAAGAAGCAACUGAAGGUCAGCAACUUGCUCAACAUCAUGUAGCUAGUAAGGAGCUUGAGCCUUGGGCAGACUCCAUCCACACCUCCUGUGCCCCCUGCAUGCCCUGCCACAAGCUGAGUGUGAAACCCUUCCACUUCAUGCUGCUGUUUUAGAGUCCCUGUGAGUUGGUGUAGUCAUGAUGAAAACUAUCCUUGAACUCAAAUUACUGCUGCUUUUGUGGCUGCUGCUUGUGAUCUGGCCGUGAUUGACUUGAU